CAAGUGAGCUGCAUCUAAAGAGACCCACAGGAAUUAAUAAAAAUGUCUCCAAUUUCAUGGCCGCAGUGGUUUCCUGCUUUUGAGAGAUCACAAAAGAAAAUCACUGAAUGCCACAAUUUAAUUAUGUAUUUCAGGGUGUCUCUGGAUGUAUUGCUCCUUUUUGGAAAUUCUGCAUCCCCAUUCUGGUCCCUCUCUUUGUCUUUCCCCAUCAUUCCACGUCACGCUUUCAUUUUUCUUUUACUUUCUCUCAGCACUCAUUUCCAUUUCUUUUCCUCUUUUUUUUUUCUUAUUUCAAAUUUCUCAUUCAGAUCUCAUCCCCUGUCCUUUCUGUCUUGCCCGGCCCCCUCCUUUUUUUGUACCCUUGUGUUCUCUUUUAUAUUGCUGCCUCUCUCCACCAGUGCUCUGAUUCAUUCCUCCUCUGCUUCACUCUUUUACAUGGGCAGGUGGCAGAGCAGCUGGCCUACUAUGGCCAUGUGUCAGAGACAGUAAUCACAGAGGAGAUGUUUGACGCCGCUGUGCAAUUUGGCACAGUGCAGGGUGACCCCACCCAGAGCUGAGCAAGACGACCUGUUUGGAUAGCCCCCCGGUUGCCCCAAGCACCGACUGGGAAAGGAGCAUCAAGGACGGCUCACCUCACACCUCAACGGCCUCGCAGGUGGGCUCCUCAGGGGAAGAGGGGGAGACGGUUGGCUGUCAAAUGACACGAGGCGGCAGAUCUACAAAAGGAACCGUUAUGAGAUGUGGUUAUUAAGGAGUUAUGUUGAUGAUCUCUACUCGAGCCAGACUCGUGCUGCGCUUGGCUGUCUGUCUUUUGACAUCAUCACACAACACCUGCUCUUCAUAAGGUAAAACUACUGGCUGAAGACACAACUCUGGCCAGGAAUCCAAGGCCCAAAGCCACCGCGGUCAGGGUUGUUAGCCUGGUUACAAACAGGGGAAAGGUGGUCACUUGGAAGAACAAGCAGCCAAAACGUAUCAAUCCUGCAUCUUCCUCAAAAAGCCUCCCAUUUCCACUGUGAGCAGCAACUAUAAACUUUUGUGUCUUCAGGAUUACCUUUCCAUCACGGGAUGAAUGAAGUGUGAAAAGCAAUCUGAGAAUCGCCAGGCCACUUCUGCGGAUGCAAUUAUGCCAAUGGCAGAUCAUUUUCUGACCUUUAUCCUCCAGCCAGUGUUGAUGGCAGUUUGCCACUGUGACAGACUGCUUUUUGUUUUCAUGUAUUUUACAGUUGUGUGACAGCUGAAAACCUGGCUCUUAAAGGCUGAGGUGCUCAUCCGUUUGAAAGACAGCCUGACUUUUUGUGCUGCUCUUUUUCUUUCGCUCUCUAUUUACUUAUGUUGUGUAUGUCCCUGUCAGUGUAACAUUCUCAUUAUUUCUUUACUGCCACUUCUGUCUCCUUCCCUCUCUCUCUUCCUCUGUAUUUUUUGUCCCAUUUCUCUCUUUCUGUCUCCGUAUUACGUGUAUUUCUAUCAGGUAUUUUCCAAAGUCUGUGUCCAGGACCAAACCAGUGUUUUUGUUCUGGCUGAUGCCUUCAUUCAAAGGUUCACGGUCCUGCUUCAGGUAAAUUGCUCCUUCUGACAAACAACCACGAGCACAGAUACAGACACACACCUUUGAACGUAGUGUUGUAGUCCAGUUUCUCAAUUCUGCAGGUUUGUGCUUUUCCAUCCAUUUCAUCUUGUUGUCAAGCUGGUUUUGUCACGUGUUGUAUUUUUGCAUUUGCACAUAGUCCUGUUUACCUGUGCUCAUAUGUUUUUGCUAUUUUGCAAACUGGUGAGCUGUCAUCUCUCAUGGAAUACAUAGUCUGUCUCAUUUGUGAAGAUUUCCUGCAUUAUUUUUUUUUAAAUUCCUGUUUCCCUUUUCCUCCUCAAUUAAAAUCAAAAUACAAAAUACAUUUCUCCUAAAAAAAUUAUUGAUUCGAUUGCAGUUCUGUGACAUAAGUACAUUUCACACUGAUUUCCAAAUUGACUUGUCUAUGAACUCUCCAUUCUACUUGUAUAAUUUACACUCUUAUCACUGCUAC
ensembl:lncRNA